rnacentral:rRNA from 1 species
CAUGUCUUUUUGAUAAUAAUUUAAAGUUUAAUCUGCUCAAUGAUAUUAAAUAGCCGCAGUAUUUUAACUGUGCGAAGGUAGCAUAAUAAUUAGCUUUUUGAAUGGGGGAUUGUAUGAAUGAUUGGACGAAAAAAUUUCUGUCUUAAUUGAAUUGGUUAUUGAAUUUUAUUUUUAAGUUAAAAAGCUUAAAUAUUUUUAAAAGACGAGAAGACCCUAUAGAGUUUAAUAUUUUAAUUUUUCUUAAUUUUAGUAAGUAAUUAAUUUUUAAUUUAUUUAGUUGGGGUGACUUGGAGAUUUAAAAAAUUCUUUAUUAUUAAAUUAAUGAUAAUUAAAUUUUGAGUUAUUAAGUUAAAAACAAAUUACCUUAGGGAUAACAGCGUAAUAUUUCUUGAGAGCUCAAAUUUAAAGGAAUUUUUGCGACCUCGAUGUUGGAUUAAAAUUUAUUUUCGGAGCAGUUACUGAAAAAUUAGGUCUGUUCGACCUUUAAAAUUUUACAUGAUCUGAGUUUAGACCGGCGUGAGCCAGGUUGGAUUCUAUCUUUAUAGAAAUUUUUUAUUUUAGUACGAAAGGACCAAGUAAAGUUUAGAUUUAA